rnacentral:rRNA from 1 species
CUUGGUCAUUUAGAGGAAGUAAAAGUCGUAACAAGGUUUCCGUAGGUGAACCUGCGGAAGGAUCAUUAAUGAGUUAGGGUCUUCUAGGCCCGAUCUCCAACCCUUUGUAUAACUACCAUGUUGCUUUGGCGGGCCCGUCUUUAACCGGACCGCCGGGGGUCUCUUGACCUCUGGCCAGUGCUCGUCAGUAGCCUACACAAAACUCUUUUAACCAUGUCAAAUCUGAAACUAGUUAAAUAAACUAAAACUUUCAACAACGGAUCUCUUGGUUCUGGCAUCGAUGAAGAACGCAGCGAAAUGCGAUAAGUAAUGCGAAUUGCAGAAUUCAGUGAGUCAUCGAAUCUUUGAACGCACAUUGCGCCCUUUAGUAUUCUGAAGGGCAUGCCUGUUCGAGCGUCAUUAUCACUAAUCAAGCCCGGCUUGCUGUUGGACCUCUUGUCGUUAAAAGACAGGUUCUAAAGAUAAUGACGGCGUCAGUUGGACCCUAGAUGCAACGAGCUUUAACUAGCACGCAUUUUAGUUGGCCCUUUUGACCCGGUCUUUUUAUAACCAUUUUCUAAGGUUGACCUCGGAUCAGGUAGGAAUACCCGCUGAACUUAAGCAUAUCAAUAAGCGGAGGA